rnacentral:rRNA from 1 species
GACGAACGCUGGCGGCGUGCUUAACACAUGCAAGUCGAGCGGUAAGGCCCUUUCGGGGGUACGACGAGCGGCGAACGGGUGAGUAACACGUGGGUGGACCUCGCCCUCCAGCUCUUGGGAGUAAGCCUGGGAAACGUGGGUCUAAUACUGGAUAUGACUCCACGGUGCAUGUCGUGGGGUGGAAAGCCUUGUGCGGCUGAGGAUGGGCCCGCGGCCUAUCAGCUUGUUGGUGGGGUGAUGGCCUACCAAGGCGACGACGGGUAGCCGG